AACUAAACACAAUGUACAAGAAUAUCGACAUUUAAGUCGAUUUCAUUAAGAUUUUUCAGUUUUAAAAUAUUGAGAGCGAAUUACAGUAAUAUUUAAAUCUGAAAGAGUUCAUUAAGUUUAUUCAGUUGGGUGCAAUCUUAAGUUUAUUCGCUUCUACUGUUACACCUGGUCUGCUACCAAAGAUAAAAAUAAACAUUGUUGGCGUUCUUCAUAUGCUACUUUCUCACAUGUUAGUGCCUUAUAAACGGCUUUUAACUCUUCCUAUAAUAAAUUCAGCAGUUUCAUUUCAUAAAAGAGUUAUGGCUGCCAAAGUUGAUGUUGAAUAUUGUGGAAUGUGAGGCUAUGAACCUCGCUUUGAGGAACUGAAGGAAAUAAUCCUUUCAGAAGUUCCUGAAGCAGAGGUUAAUGGCAAAGUUGGAAGGCAAUCUUCUUUUGAACUCACCAUAAAUUCAAUCUUGGUGUUUUCCAAAUUAAAGAAGAAUAAAUUUCCAGAUUUUAACAAAGUUGUGGAAUUAGUUCAGGAGGUCCAAAAUGGAAAAGAGGUGCGCUCUCUCAUGUAAAUGACUGAAGGCUACAAUCAAGUUACAUCUUCUAAUUGCAGUGACUUUUUGAGUUGGUUUAAAGAGAUGUUCAUGAUAGCUCUUCUACAAGGCCAUUCCAGGAAGAAGCUUGAUGUUUUUGGUCUGUUUCUUCCCUCACAAAUUGUCAUUGCUUUUACUCAGAUGUUAUCUUGAUAUGUUACGCUUUUCAAGUUCGGCUGACAUAGUCUGAAAAAUAUUCUCUUAUAAUGCUAGUGAUCUCCAAUAUUUAAAUUAGGCAACUGAUUUGACCUCUAAUUAACAUUUUACAAAUUUAGCUUAAUGUUGACUCCUAUUUAUUAUUGAUUCCUAUCUAUUAGUAGUACUGUAGUAUUUCCUUAAUUUUUAGGUUUUGAAACCAAAUGUAUUUUAGCAUUUCAUCUUUAUGAUUUACAAGUUUUGAGUUUAAAAUAACAAAAUAUUCAGUGUUACGUUUACCAAAUUUUAGUGUGUUAUUUUUAACCUUUUACUAUUAUAUUUAUGGAGAAAAAAAAUCAGAAUUUCUUAUAUCACUUUUUGUUAAUGUUAUAUAGUUACAAUUUCUAAUCUUGUAAUGUGAACAUUCAAAUCAAGCUGUUAAUUUUUAUUUAUUACCAUUUGCAAGUGUUAUGCAAUAAUGUUUUCCUUUCUUUUACUUUUGCUCUGAUAAAACUCUUAAAUUAAUAAAACUCAUUAGAAAUAAUUGAAAAACUUAAUAUAUAUGUUCAGAAAUUUUCGCAAUUUUUUUUUCAAAGAGUUAGUACAUUUUAGGUACUAGAAAAUAAAAAAAAUUCAGCUAAUAGAUUUUCAGUAGAAUGACCAAUGUUUAACUCUUUGCCCACAAGGUACAGAGCACUGUUUUAUAAUAUCAUUAAAGUUUUGAUUGUACAGAAAUUUUUAUUUGCAUAAUAUUCCUAAACUUAAACUUAAUUUUUGAUGAAUUAAUAUUUUUAAUUACUUACAGAUUUUUAAUUUUAAUAAUUAGGGAAAUAAGCAGAAAAUUCAAAACGUCUAGUUGUAUCAUAUAUCUUAUAUAUUUAUUUGUUAUUUUAAUUUGUUAGUUGUAAGAUAAACAAAUGAAGUUAAAGACAAACCUUAACUUUUUAAUUUUUUAAGACAAAAAAUCAGUAUUUGAAUCAAAUGAACCUCAAGUUCUGAAAUUCUGCAGUGCAGUAUUAGCCAUCAUUAAAUAUUUUUUGAUUAAAAUGAGGUAAUUGCAUAACANUG
rnacentral:lncRNA from 1 species